UGGGGAAUAUUGGACAAUGGGCGAAAGCCUGAUCCAGCCAUGCCGCGUGUGUGAAGAAGGCCUUUUGGUUGUAAAGCACUUUAAGUUGGGAGGAAGGGCAGUAAGCGAAUACCUUGCUGUUUUGACGUUACCGACAGAAUAAGCACCGGCUAACUCUGUGCCAGCAGCCGCGGUAAUACAGAGGGUGCAAGCGUUAAUCGGAAUUACUGGGCGUAAAGCGCGCGUAGGUGGUUCGUUAAGUUGAAUGUGAAAGCCCCGGGCUCAACCUGGGAACUGCAUCCAAAACUGGCGAGCUAGAGUAGGGCAGAGGGUGGUGGAAUUUCCUGUGUAGCGGUGAAAUGCGUAGAUAUAGGAAGGAACACCAGUGGCGAAGGCGACCACCUGGGCUCAUACUGACACUGAGGUGCGAAAGCGUGGGGAGCAAACAGG
rnacentral:rRNA from 1 species